ACCCUUGUGUCAGAGCUGCAGAGGAAAACAGGAGGUGAGACUUGGAGGUAGGAGUUUCGAUCUCAGAACAUCUGCAGGAACCUGAUCUUGGCUGGAGGACCCGAUAUGGAAGGAAUGACAUGUAAGCCGAUUUAAGUCAUCUCUAAUUCCAACACCACGAUGGUGAAUGAUAAUGAUCUCAUGACCUCAGAGAGAAAAAGAAAACAAGGACAGCAGAACAGAAACUCGAAGAUUUAAGAAAGUGAAGUCAUGACGGGAUAUUGAACAAUGUCUGAGGUAAAGGCAAAAGAGAGUCCCAGACAGGUCUGGAGCGCUAUGUUCAACCCAAGGAGGUAUCUGAAUGAACAACAAAGCUGAAAAAGUCAUGCCAAAUUGCGGAUCAACCUGAGUGUGCUAAUGUCUGGGCAUCCCUGCAAGGUGAGCUCCUGAGCCAAGUAUCCAGUGACUUCAUUCUGAAACUCUCCAUGGACCCAAGACCUAGGAUGGGUUGUAAUGGAUGGCUAAGCACACAGCAACAUUUAUGUCACUGGAUGAGUCUGCCUAGCGUUUGAAGUUUAUAAUGAAAACUAGAAUCAGUAACAGGGUGAUUCUCAGUGCUUGCCCCUAACGUUGCCUAGCCAAGAACAUGGAGGAUAAAGGAGAGUUUAAGCUUU
rnacentral:lncRNA from 1 species